rnacentral:rRNA from 1 species
UCUUCCACAAUGGGCGCAAGCCUGAUGGAGCAACGCCGCGUGUGUGAUGAAGGGUUUCGGCUCGUAAAACACUGUUAUAAGAGAAGAACGGCACUGAGAGCAACUGUACAGUGUGUGACGGUAUCUUACCAGAACGGAACGGCUAAAUACGUGCCAGCAGCCGCGGUAAUACGUAUGUUCCAAGCGUUAUCCGGAUUUAUUGGGCGUAAAGCGAGCGCAGACGGUUAUUUAAGUCUGAAGUGAAAGCCCUCAGCUCAACUGAGGAAUGGCUUUGGAAACUGGAUGACUUGAGUGCAGUAGAGGAAAGUGGAACUCCAUGUGUAGCGGUGAAAUGCGUAGAUAUAUGGAAGAACACCAGUGGCGAAGGCGGCUUUCUGGACUGUAACUGACGUUGAGGCUCGAAAGUGUGGGUAGCAAACAG